UACGUAGGGCGCAAGCGUUAUCCGGAAUUAUUGGGCGUAAAGAGCUCGUAGGCGGUUUGUCGCGUCUGCCGUGAAAGCCCGGGGCUCAACUCCGGAUCUGCGGUGGGUACGGGCAGACUAGAGUGAUGUAGGGGAGACUGGAAUUCCUGGUGUAGCGGUGAAAUGCGCAGAUAUCAGGAGGAACACCGGUGGCGAAGGCGGAUCUCUGGGCCGUACCUGACGCUGAGGCGCGAAAGCUAGGGGAGCAAACAGG
rnacentral:rRNA from 1 species